UUCUCAGGCUGAUGGAGUGAGUGACAGAGUGGGUUGCCAACUCGAGUGACUCCACUCAGCGUACACAGUGGCUACGGGGGAUAGAUUCAGACAUGCCCAAAGAAGUCUGCCCAGGGGGAGACUCAUACCUUUGAGGU
ensembl:misc_RNA